ensembl:antisense Gm11973 predicted gene 11973
GCGGCCGCGCUGGUUCUCCUUGAGGUCCAGGUAGUACUUGCGGUUCUCGCGCACCAGGAACUCGCUCUUGAGCGCGCGGCGCGGCCCGCCGCCCUCCUCGGCGCCCGCCGCCAGCUGCUCGGGGCUGCUGGGACCCAGCUGCGCGUAGUGCUCGAUGAAGUCGCCCAGCGAGUCGCGGAACUCGGCGGCCACCGCCAUCGACAGCGUGAGGCGGCUCUUGGAGCCGCCCGCGCCCACCUCGGCGAUCUUGAGGAAGCGGCCCUUGGCGUUCUGCUUCACGUCCAGGAUCAGAAAAGAAGUCCACCCAAGCCUUGCGAUACCUCAGUACUGCUCUGUCCUCAGAGUACAAAAAGAGGACCCAGGUUCGAGUCUCAGAAGACACACACGGCAGCCCAUAGCCAUGUAUAAUUCCAGUUCCAGGGGAUCCAGCACCCUCCUCUGGCCUUCUUGAGCACCUGCACACACAUG